CUCGCCAAACCUACAGAGCUGCGGCGAUCCCACCCCAUAAGCUUCGACGACGAAUUGAUUCAUGUGAUUUACGGAGACGAUCCGUUAAAAGAGGGUGAGUUGUUACUCUAUUUUGUUGCUUGUUUAUUUUAUAUAUAUUUUGGAUAAUGAAAAUGGUGUAAGCAACCUGCAAUUUCAUCUUUUUGGAAACGACGACUCAUUUUUGUAGAAUAAUGGAAGAUUUGUUGAUAAAAUUUGAAUUUUUCUGGUGGUGUAUUGAAUAAUGGAGGAGACCUCUAGAUUUAAUUCUCGUUUCUGGUACCUCAGAUUCACGUCCAAAAAAACGAUUCACGUGCUGGUUGAAGACAAUCUGAUCUUGAGAAGCAAACUUGGUUGACUCUUGCUCAGGAAUAAUGGAAGUCGCCACCACCGGCUUUAUGGUUAGACGAAUAGAGGGGAUGAAAACCGAGCAAGCUAUAGCAGAAGUUAUCUGCUAAUCUAGGGACCCAGCUAUAGCAGAAGUUCUCUGCAGAUCUAGGGACCCAGGGGUAUUGAAGAGAAUGGGGUCUAGGAAGGAGGAGAUUCACCAAGCUCCUGGUGCAUAGUGUUUGACAUCUCGAAUCAGACAGUUGAGGCUGCACAUGAUGCACCAUAAAUCUAUUCAUAAAUUUCCUAAGCUGCAUUUGGUGUAUAUGGAAGAAUUUAAAUCCGUGAGCAAGACAAAAUGAUUGGUUUAGUGAAAGCUAUCAAGGUGGGAUGCGUGAUCGUGCGAAAAAAAAAGAUAUGCAAGCAGGAUUUAUGUCUUCAGAAUGAGUUGAACAACUAUUCAGAGUGUUAAAGUAGAUAUUUGAUUACUUUUGUUUACUUAUGUUCAGAACUUAUUGAAUGAUAUUCAUUACUGAAUACUAUUUAUUCAGAACUUAUUUAUUUUA